rnacentral:rRNA from 1 species
AUGAAAGCAUGCAUCAUUCUUCACAAUAUGAUAGUUGAAGAUGAGAGGAAAAUGGUCACCACUCCUCUUGACUUGAAUGAGACUCCAGGGUCAUCAGUUGUUUUACCUCCAGAAAUGAAGGUGGGUGGUAACACAUGCUUUGCUGAUGUUCUUCGGAGAAAUGCUGGAAUUCGUGAUCGCUCAACACAUACGCAACUCAAGAGGGACUUGGUUGAGCACAUUUGGAAGAGAUUUGGCAAUUAG